AUUGAACGCUGGCGGCAGGCCUAACACAUGCAAGUCGAACGGUAACAGGAAGAAGCUUGCUUCUUUGCUGACGAGUGGCGGACGGGUGAGUAAUGUCUGGGAAACUGCCUGAUGGAGGGGGAUAACUACUGGAAACGGUAGCUAAUACCGCAUAACGUCGCAAGACCAAAGAGGGGGACCUCGGGCCUCUUGCCAUCGGAUGUGCCCAGAUGGGAUUAGCUAGUAGGUGGGGUAACGGCUCACCUAGGCGACGAUCCCUAGCUGGUCUGAGAGGAUGACCAGCCACACUGGAACUGAGACACGGUCCAGACUCCUACGGGAGGCAGCAGUGGGGAAUAUUGCACAAAGGGCGCAAGCCUGAUGCAGCCAUGCCGCGUGUAUGAAGAAGGCCUUCGGGUUGUAAAGUACUUUCAGCGGGGAGGAAGGGAGUAAAGUUAAUACCUUUGCUCAUUGACGUUACCCGCAGAAGAAGCACCGGCUAACUCCGUG
rnacentral:rRNA from 1 species